GUGGGGAAUAUUGGACAAUGGGCGAAAGCCUGAUCCAGCCAUGCCGCGUGAGUGAUGAAGGCCCUAGGGUUGUAAAGCUCUUUCAGUGGGGAAGAUAAUGACGGUACCCACAGAAGAAGCCCCGGCUAACUUCGUGCCAGCAGCCGCGGUAAUACGAAGGGGGCUAGCGUUGUUCGGAUUUACUGGGCGUAAAGGGCGCGUAGGCGGACAGUUUAGUCAGAGGUGAAAGCCCAGGGCUCAACCUUGGAAUUGCCUUUGAUACUGGCUGUCUUGAGUACGGGAGAGGUGAGUGGAACUCCGAGUGUAGAGGUGAAAUUCGUAGAUAUUCGGAAGAACACCAGUGGCGAAGGCGGCUUACUGGUCCAUUACUGACGCUGAGGUGCGAAAGCGUGGGGAGCAAACAGGAUUAGAUACCCCUGUAGUCC
rnacentral:rRNA from 1 species